ACCCAGAGAGACCAGGAAGGAUGAGCUGCUCCAGAGGAUCAUCAGAGGGAUGGAGGAGCUGCUGAUCCAGAGAACCAUGAGGAACCAUGAGGAUGCAUGUUGGCCCAUACUGCUCAAUGUUUCUACACUCAAGGAUUCAUUUGUCUACGUUCCCCAGCAACCGUGUGUGUACUGCAUCAGAGUGGAAGACCUGGGGAAAAGAACUUCAAGGACUCAUCAGUCAGUGGUCA